rnacentral:lncRNA from 1 species
UUGAUUUGCUACCAGUGUGACUACUCUUAGGAGUGGAUUCAUUGAACCCAAGGCCAGACUUGUCUCCUGCCAUCUUUCUAGUCUGGAGGAUUUUGUCUAAGGUGUCAGAUCCACUAUUUAGCAUUCUUACAUACUUUGUCAUCUCAUCCAGUUUUGAAUUCAGGAACACGACUUUGAUUUUCAACUUAGAGAUGGUUUCUAAGUGUUCUGUCUUCUCAUCCUCUAGUUGGGUUAUCAAUUUCUUCUGAUUCUCCACUUG